GACGAACGCUGGCGGCGUGCCUAAUACAUGCAAGUCGAACGCACUCUCGUUUAGAUUGAAGGAGUUUGCUCCUGAUUGAUAAACAUUUGAGUGAGUGGCGGACGGGUGAGUAACGCGUGGGUAACCUGCCCUAAAGUGGGGGAUAACAUUUGGAAACAGAUGCUAAUACCGCAUAAAACCUAACACCGCAUGGUGUAGGGUUGAAAGAUGGUUUCGGCUAUCACUUUAGGAUGGACCCGCGGUGCAUUAGUUAGUUGGUGAGGUAAAGGCUCACCAAGACCGUGAUGCAUAGCCGACCUGAGAGGGUAAUCGGCCACACUGGGACUGAGACACGGCCCAGACUCCUACGGGAGGCAGCAGUAGGGAAUCUUCCACAAUGGACGAAAGUCUGAUGGAGCAACGCCGCGUGAGUGAAGAAGGUUUUCGGAUCGUAAAACUCUGUUGUUGGAGAAGAAUGUAUCUGAUAGUAACUGAUCAGGUAGUGACGGUAUCCAACCAGAAAGCCACGGCUAACUACGUG
rnacentral:rRNA from 1 species